GUAGCGUAUAUUAAAGUUGUUGCAGUUAAAAAGCUCGUAGUCGAACUUCGGGCCUGGCGGGACGGUCUGCCUUACGGUAUGUACUGUCUGGCCGGGUCUUACCUCUUGGUGAGGCCGUAUGCCCUUCAUUGGGUGUGCGGUGGAACCAGGAAUUUUACCUUGAGAAAAUUAGAGUGUUCAAAGCAGGCAAUUGCCCGAAUACAUUAGCAUGGAAUAAUAGAAUAGGACGUGCGGUUCUAUUUUGUUGGUUUCUAGGAUCGCCGUAAUGAUUAAUAGGAACGGUCGGGGGCAUUAGUAUUCCAUUGCUAGAGGUGAAAUUCUUAGAUUUAUGGAAGACUAACAACUG
rnacentral:rRNA from 1 species